rnacentral:rRNA from 1 species
AGAGUUUGAUCCUGGCUCAGAACGAACGCUGGCGGCGUGCCUAACACAUGCAAGUCGAGCGCGAAAGGGGGGGCAACUCCCCGAGUAGAGCGGCGCACGGGUGAGUAACGCGUGGGUAACCAACCUCCGGGCGGGGGAUAACCACUCGAAAGGGUGGCUAAUACCGCAUGAGACCACGGGGUCCUUGGAUCCUGGGGGUAAAGGUGGCACCGGCUUGCCGGUGCUGUCACCUGGAGACGGGCCCGCGUACGAUUAGCUUGUUGGUAGGGUAACGGCCUACCAAGGCUGCGAUCGUUAGCUGGUCUGAGAGGAUGACCAGCCACACUGGAACUGGAACACGGUCCAGACUCCUACGGGAGGCAGCAGUGAGGAAUAUUGCGCAAUGGGGGAAACCCUGACGCAGCAACGCCGCGUGAGUGAAGAAGGCUUUCGGGUCGUAAAGCCCUGUCAGGUGGGAAGAAACCUCCGCGGGGAUAAUCCGCGAAGCCUGACGGUACCGCCAGAGGAAGCACCGGCUAACUCCGUGCCAGCAGCCGCGGUAAUACGGAGGGUACAAGCGUUGUUCGGAAUUACUGGGCGUAAAGGGCGUGUAGGCGGUCCGUUAAGUCAGAUGUGAAAGCCCUUGGCUUAACCAAGGAAUUGCAUUUGAAACUGGCGGACUAGAGUACGGGAGAGGGAGGUGGAAUUCCUGGUGUAGCGGUGAAAUGCGUAGAUAUCAGGAGGAACACCGGUGGCGAAGGCGGCCUCCUGGACCGAUACUGACGCUGAGACGCGAAAGCGUGGGGAGCAAACAGGAUUAGAUACCCUGGUAGUCCACGCGGUAAACGAUGGGCACUAGGUGUUCGGGGUAUCCACUCCCCGAGUGCCGCAGCUAACGCAUUAAGUGCCCCGCCUGGGGAGUACGGCCGCAAGGUUAAAACUCAAAGGAAUUGACGGGGGCCCGCACAAGCGGUGGAGUAUGUGGUUUAAUUCGACGCAACGCGAAGAACCUUACCUGGGUUUGACAUCCCGGGAACCGCCGGUCGCCGGUGAAAGCCGGUUUCCUUUCGGGGCACGUUCACAGGUGCCGCAUGGCUGCCGUCAGCUCGUGUCGUGAGAUGUUGGGUUAAGUCCCGCAACGAGCGCAACCCUUGUUCUUAGUUACCAGCAUUAAGUUGGGGACUCUAGAGAGACUGCCGGUGUUAAACCGGAGGAAGGUGGGGAUGACGUCAAGUCCUCAUGGCCUUUAUGCCUAGGGCUACACACGUGCUACAAUGGUCAGGACAAAGGGCUGCUACUUCGCAAGGAGACGCCAAUCCCAAAAACCUGGCCCCAGUUCGGAUGGUCGGCUGCAACUCGCCGGCUUGAAGCUGGAAUCGCUAGUAAUCGGAGAUCAGCACGCUCCGGUGAAUACGUUCCCGGGCCUUGUACACACCGCCCGUCACACCACGAAAGCUGCGUGUACCCGAAGUCGCUGAGCUAACCCGCAAGGGAGGCAGGUGCCGAAGGUAUGCGGGGUGAUUGGGGUGAAGUCGUAACAAGGUAGCC